GGCCCUGAUCCCCGGUAGGCGCCAGCGGGGAAGGAUGGCGGUGGAUUGGGUGGCCUGGGCCCGGUCUGCGGCCUAGGCCGCGGGGACGCUCUGGUGGGACCUCGCCUCGUGGCGGCCCUACGGAGCGGUGAGCAGGUAGCGGGGCCCUCAGUAGGAGUAAUAUGGGAGACGCGGGCUCAUGGAGCCUCCGUAUGGGCCGCUGGAAGGGGCGGCCACAGCGGGUCCGUGGCGCUUCAGGCUUGAGGCCCAUCAUCCCGCGGCCGAGUGCGGGUGUGCGUGGUGCCUGGGUGUGAGCGCUGCGGAGAGGCUGUGCCUGGGGCCUGCGCUCGGAUUUCGUGAGGUAACAGCUCAGGGUGCCUCAUCUGCGUUGUGUUCUCACUUGGGAGCCCUUUUCCCUGGGGAAUUCACCUGGAUGAUGGCGAGAUAAUGUGUCUGCUAUAGAGAAAAAGUGCUAGGGUCCUGAACUUUAGAAUUAGAGGCCCCAUGUUAAAUAGUAUAGCUCACUUGGAUUUCCGUGUGCCUGCACGUGAUGAAAACUAUGUUGGUAGGGACAUCUGAGAGGGUGAUGAAUGCCAACAUAUCUGAGCUGGGCAUGGAAUAGUGAGUGGUGACCUAUCCGGUAGGGCUGAAACAGCAUGUAGUUUUUUCUGAGCAGCCCAAGUUAAUGGCUGUGGGACUGGCUCGGUGAUCAUACAUUGAAAUUGCAGCUGUGGAAAACGACAAAAGUUUAGUGGCUCUGUUCUGCUUAAAAAUACUGUCUGUUCAGGAUGCACCAGCUAUUUACACUGUUUUCUCUUAUGGCUUUGAAACAGAUCUGCCAUGGAAUAAAGAAACUUGAUGCUACUACAAAAGUAUUUGAGUCAUGUACUUAGAAGACUUGCAGAAGAAACAUUUGCUGGUACUGGGAAAUGAAGCUAUAAACUGCACAAGGCUGCCCUUGACAAAGGAUACCUGUGCCUCCAGUGAGAAUAUUUCACCUGUUACUAAUGCUUGUGAAGACAAGGCCUUCUAAUUGAAGGGUUUCAGAGUUUGUCAUUGCAAUGGCUGCUGUGGUGAAGCUGCAAAGUAGUGCUGUUGGUAGUCUACCAGCAAAGAUUUGAGAAUGGGAGAACUGCUGGAUGCUUUGUGACAGAUGAUUCUUUACUUGAGUGAAGCUCAUGGGGAGAUUGUGUGAGAAACAAGACUAACUCAUGUCUGAGGCAAGUGUCAAGUAGAUCAGGUUUGAUAAUUACUGUAAUACUGGUUUUCUGCUAAGUGCCUAGAUUGUGGUGCCUGAAAUUAUUUAUUACUCCUAUAAUAGAUCUGAUUUGUUUUCCUGUUUUAUUCUUACUAUCUCACUUCACUACUGUGGGAAUAAAUGUGAUGUGCUUGAAGCAAGAGUGCAUUUCUGUGUAAGUCUGAGUUGGACUUAAAAGCGAAAGGCUCUUUCUGGGCCGAUAAGACAAUUCCUGAGCAGUAAACUUUUUGUAGUUCUUACAGGAAAAGGUGUGGUGGCUUCAGUGACUAGAAACUGGGAGUUUAUUAUUGGAUGUCUGCACAUUGGAAAUAGUAAAGGAGCUGAAUCAGUGAAGACUACUUAGCCAAUGAAGUGUGAUAGUGUAGUAGAGCAGAGUGCACAGUAGCAAAAAAAUAACUCCUAACAAUUCAUAUUUAUGUGGCUGCACUCUUAAAAAAAAAAAAACCAACCCAAAAACCCAAACAUCCAACAUGUAUGCUGUGGUUUUCAGUCAGUAAUUCUUGCUGAUGUUGGCACUACACAAAUAGAAUCAGGUUCUAGGUAAUUGCUGUGCAAAUGUGCUUCCUCCAACAGACUGGUUCUGAAUUUUAAGGAUGGGUUUUCAAGGUAAUUUCUAUGAGACUUUUAUUUUAAAUAUCAAAACUCAAUGAGUAACUAUGGGGAGAGAGUAUCCCAAGCAAGUAGCUUUGUUCUUUCCUGCAGUUCUUACAAUAAUAAUUCUGUAUUUCCAGUUCAGUUAGGAUUUGUAAGCUUUGUAUAUCCUACUUGGGUGUUAUAAGUUGAAGUUCUUGUCAGUUGCCACCUGAAAUGCAGCCUCCUGAGUAAAGUUAGUUUGAGUAGAAUUUCAUAGAUAAUUAAACUUGCAUAUAGUGAAGUCUGUUAUUCUGAAACAACUUGUCUCUUUCUCAGGAAAGGACCGUGCCAUCUGCAGCCUCAUUGGGUAAGACCACACAGCAGAAGAAUUCUGUUAAAAAAAUCAUGGGGAGAUUUGUAGCCACUGAUGAAAUUUGAUUCUGCCAAAUGAAUUACUGUGAUAUCACACUUCUCCGUUCCACUUUUCUCUGAGGUUACAAAGUUGCUGUGGAGCUUUUAGACUUGUGCUACUGCAAGAUUUAAUUGUGGUUUCUCACUCUAGGUGAGGAGGCAACUUUGAAAUUACUCUAUGAAGAACUGAAGGUGGAAGAUUGCAGAAUAAUGCCUUACACUUGCAUGAACAGAACUAAAAAAGCCCAAGAGUUCUUUUACCACCCUGAUUAUGUUUCACUGAUAUGAAUUGGUACCAAUAAAAAUUCAUAAACUCUA